AUUUUGGUGUGUCAGCCUUUUCCUCACAUAGACUGGAGGGUCAGAACGUGGCCUGAUAUUGUCCUUAUGGGAGUCUUUUUCUAUUGUCCAAAGGUUACGAGUCUGUCAGAACCCACAAGGUGACAGGGCUAAGUCUAUAACAAACUACAAGUUCUUGGACCUCCACAGAAGAUGUGUGGUGACUGCAGUCUGUUAUUAACAUGGGGUGAGAUCUUCAAUGGAUAAUUUAGGGGCCUGUUUUGCACAAGAGGCACUGUUUUACCUGUAUUUCCAGCAUUAUCCAGCUGGUGUCACUUCAGUCCCUUUUUUGUUUCAAUCAAGCAGCUUCCCCAACAUGACCAAGAUUGCGAAACAAUAUCCCUUUUGCUAAUAAUUCUGUAGAUGUGGGAAGAAUUGUUAAUACCAGGGCUGACUCAGCAAUGGAAAUGUGCUGACCUAAAUGAGAUUAUUUUUUAUUUAUGUUCCUGAUUGUUAUGUAAGGCUGAAACAUUAAAAUAUUUUAAUCAGAUACUCUGUCAUGUCCUUUCUAACUUUACUGGUGAGCUCCCCCCAGCAGGUGUGUUUGAUGC
ensembl:lncRNA